rnacentral:tRNA from 1 species
GGACAGAUGGCCGAGCUGGUUAUGGCGCCAGGUUAAGGUAUCUUAACAUUAAUUCCUGGUCACGAAAGUGGCGUGGGUUCGAGUCCCACUCUGUUCA